rnacentral:rRNA from 1 species
UGUAAGCGUAUACCAAAGUUGUUGCAGUUAAAACGCUCGUAGUCGGACUUUGGCAGUUCCGGAUGUGUGCACGUCGUGUGCGCACUUCGCGGGGAUUGCUUUUGUGGUCUUGCGUAGGAUGAGGCACUUUUAUUAGUGAACGUCCUCACGCAACCACUUUUUACUGUGAGAAAAUCAGAGUGCUCAAAGCAGGCAUUUGCCGUGAAUGUAUUAGCAUGGAAUAAUAGAAUAAGACUUGGUUCUAUUUUGUUGGUUUGUUGGGACUGAGUAAUGAUUAAGAGGGACAGUUGGGGGCAUUUGUAUUUCGGUGCUAGAGGUGAAAUUCUUAGAUUACCGAAAGACAAACUGCUGCGAAAGCGUCUGCCAAGGAUGUUUUCAUUGA